GGCAGGAUAGCUCAAUUGGUUAGAGCACAGCAUUCAUAACGCUGAGGUUCCGAGUUCAAGUCUCGGUCCUGCUA
rnacentral:tRNA from 1 species